GAUGAACGCUGGCGGCGUGCCUAAUACAUGCAAGUCGAGCGAACGGACGAGAAGCUUGCUUCUCUGACGUUAGCGGCGGACGGGUGAGUAACACGUGGAUAACCCACCUAUAAGACUGGGAUAACUUCGGGAAACCGUAGCUAAUACCGGAUAAUCUUUUGAACCGCAUGGUUGAAAAGUGAAAGACGGUCUUGCUGUCACUUAUAGAUGGAUCCGGGCUUCAUUAGGUAGUUGGUAAGGUAACGGCUUACCAAGGCAACGAUGCAUAGCCGAAGUGAGAGGGUGAUAGGCCACACUGGAACUGAGACACGGUCAAGACUCCUACGGGAGGCAGCAGUAGGGAAUCUUCCGCAAUGGGCGAAAGCCUGACGGAGCAACGCCGCGUGAGUGAUGAAGGUCUUCGGAUCGUAAAGCUCUGUUAUUAGGGAAGAACAUAUGUGUAAGUAACUGUGCACAUCUUGACGGUACCUGAUCAAAAAGCCACGGCUAACUACGUG
rnacentral:rRNA from 1 species